AAGGAUCAAUUCCCAACUCAGUUGGUAACAUGCUAAGCUUGCAAUACUUGGACUUAUCCCAUAAUGAUCUAUCCGGUGUGAUCCCAAAGUUCAUGGAAGCACUUUCUUAUCUCAGCUACAUCAACCUUUCUUUUAACAAUUUGAGCGGUGAAAUUCCAUCUGGUGGUCCCUUCAAGAACUUCACAAGUCAAUCAUUCAUGUCUAAUGCUGCACUCUGUGGUGCUCCAAGGUUUCUUGUCCCUCUUUGUAGCCCCCUACCUCUUCACAGAUCAACUAAAAAGAAAGUACUGCAAGUGAUAUAUCUAGUGUUAGGUAUAGCUGUAGCAAUUAUAUCCCUAAGAUAUCGAAGGAAGAAUAAUGUUCCAACAGCAGUAAGUUGGAAGCCUCUGGGAAAAGCAGAAAGGUUCUCAUAUUAUGAACUUUUACGAGCAACAAAUGGCUACAAUGAGAGUAAUUUACCUGGCACAGGGAGUUUUGGAUCAGUCUAUAGAGGUACCCAAAUAGAUGGGACUCAGGUGGCAGUGAAAGUUUUCAAAUUGCAAUUAGAAGGAACACACGAUAGUUUUGUUUCAGAAUGUGAGGUACUACGCAAUCUUCGCCAUCGAAAUCUCACCAAAGUGAUUGGCAGUUGUACUAACCAUGGCUUCAAAGCCUUGGUGUAUGAGUAUAUGCCUAACGGGAGUCUUGAGAAAUGGUUGUACUCUCACAAUCAUUAUUUAAAUUUAAUAGAAAGAAUGAGCAUAAUGAUAGAUGUUUCUAAUGCAUUGGAGUAUCUCCACCAUGGUUAGACGACACCAGUGGUUCACUGUGAUAUCAAGCCUAGUAACAUCUUGCUCGAUGAAGGUAUGGUUGCUCAUGUCAGUGACUUUGGUCUUUCAAAACUUUUGAGUCAAGAAGACAGUAAUUUGCACACCAAGACCCUUGCAACUCUAGGUUAUAUUGCACCAGAAUAUGGAGCAGGAGGUUUGGUAUCAACAAGAAGUGAUGUAUAUAGUUUUGGAAUUGUUUUGAUCGAAACUUUUUCAAGAAUGAAGCCUAGUGAUCAAAUAUUUGUUGGCGAUCUAAGCCUAAAGAGUUGGAUAGAAGAUUCACUUCACACUAGGACAACACAGACUAUAGAUGCCAACCUACUCUCGCCAGAAGAUGAGUAUCUUUCAGAGAAGUUGGGGAGCAUUUAUCUGACCCUGGAAUUAGCUUUGAGCUGCUGCAACGAACGUCCAAGAGAUAGGACCAGCAUGAAUCAUGUUGUAGUGUCACUUGAGAAGAUCAAGCAUCAAUUAGUCAGUGUCUGCGGUGACCAAAUGUGAAAU